AUUAAAACUUUCAAUAACGGAUCUCUUAGUUCUAAUAUUAAUAAAGAACGUAGCGAAAUGUAAUAAGUAAUAUAAAUUAUAGAAUUUAAUAAAUUAUCGAAUCUUUAAACGUAUAUUAUAUUCGCUAAUAUUCUAAUAAAUAUAUUUAUUCAAGUAUUAUUUUAAUUAUUAAAUUUUAUUUAUAUUAAGGAUUUACGGUUAUCCACAGUCCCUUAAAAUUAAUAGUAGGCUUAUUAAUUAUAUUAAAUAUAGUAAUUCUAUAUUACUAUAGUCGUACGGCAGGUUCUUACUAUAAAACCCCCUAUUUCUAAAAUUAACCUCGGAUUAAGUAGGAAUACCCACUAAAUUUAAAUAUAUUAAUAAGCAGAGGAAAAGAAACUAAUAAGGAUUGCCCUAAUAAUAGCGAAUAAAAUAAUAAUAAUUCAAAUUUAAAAUCUAACUUUAAUUUAAAUUAUAAUUUAUAGAGGAAGCUUUUAGUAAAGCACCUUCUAAAUCCCUUAGAACGGAGCACUAUAGAAGGUAAGAACCCCGUAUAGUCGGAUACUAAUUUAAUAUAAAACUCCUUCGACGAAUCGAAUAAUUUAAAAAUAUUAUUUAAAAUAGGAGGUAAAUUUCUUCUAAAGUUAAAUACCGGCUAGAAACUAAUAAUAUACAAGUAGAAUAAUUGAAAGAUAAAAAGCACUUUAAAAAGAGAGUUAAAUAGUACGUAAAAUUAUUAAAAGGGAAGCAUUUAUAAUUAAACUUAUACUAUUCCAAUUAUCUAAUAUUCUUACUAAUAUACUCAGGAUAAUUUAAACUAAUAUCGGUUUUAACGAGGGAAUAAAAGUCUAAGGAACGUAACUCCUCCAGGAAUAUUAUAGCCCCGGGUAUAAUACCCUCGCCGGGACCGAGGUUCGCGUAUCUGUAAGGAUGCUAGCGUAAUAGUUAUUAACAACCCAUUUUAAAAUACGGAUUAAAGAAUUAAGGUUUUACGCAAGUAUUUGGGUAUAAAACCCGUACGCAUAAUAAAAGUAAAUAUAAGUAAGAGCUUCGGCGUAUUAUUAACCGAUCUUAAUAUAUUCGGAUAGAUUUGAGUAAAAGCGUUAAACUUUGGACCUAAAAGAUAGUAAACUAUACUUAAAUAGAGUAAAAUUAGAAGAAACUCUAGUAGAGGCUCAUAGCAGUUCUAACGUAUAAAUUAAUUAUUAAAUUUAAAUAUAGGGGCGAAAGAUUAAUCGAACUAUCUAAUAGCUAGUUACCGCCGAAGUUUCCCUUAGGAUAGUAGUAUUAUUCUUUAAUUUUAUAAAGUAAAGCGAAUAAUUAGGGACUCGGGGGCGCUUUUUAGCCUUUAUCUAUUCUCAAACUUUAAAUAUAUAAGAAGCCCUUAUUAUUUAAUUGAAUAUAGGUAUUCGAAUAUACUAAUACUAGUAGGCUAUUUUUAGUAAAUAGAAUUAGUAAUACGGAAUAAACCGAACGCAGGGUUAAAAUACUAGAGUAGACACUUAUUAAAUAUUAUAAAAGGCGUUAAUAUAUUUUAAUAGUAGGAUAGUGGCUAUAGAAGUCGGAAUUCGCUAAAAACUAUAUAACAACUUACCUACCGAAUAUACUAGCCUUAAAAAUAAAUAGCGCUCAAACGUCCUACUUAUACCCCGCCUUUAGGGUAGAAAUAAUACCCUAAAGAAUAAGCGGCCGUAAAGGUUAAUAACGAAGCUUAGGGCGUAAACCCGGGUCGAACGGCCUCUAGUACAAAUCUUAAUAGUAAUAAUAAAUACUUUAAUAAGAAUUUGAAGGACUAAAGUAGGGAAAGGUUCUAUAUAAAUAGCAGUUGGAUAUAAAUUAGUUAAUCCUAAACUAUAGGGAAGUUCCGUUUUAAAGGGGCACUUGUACCCCGUAUAGUAAAAGGGAAGUCGGUUAAUAUUUUAGUACUUAAAUAUAGGUUUUAUAUAGUAACGCAAUUGAACGCGGAGACAACAGCGGAGGCCCCGGGCAGAAUUCUCUUUUCUUCUUAAUAGUUUAUUACCCUAAAAAUAGUUUAUUUAAAGAUAGGGUUUAAUAGCCGGAAGAGCCCGACACUUCUAUUAGGUCCGGUACACUCUCAAUAUCCCUUAAAAAUCCGCAGAAGGGAAUAAUUUUUAUAUUAGGUCGUACUUAUAACUAUAGUAAGUCUUUAAAGUAAAUAGCUUCUAAUUAAUAGAAUAAUAUAAAUAAAGGAAGUCGGUAAAAUAAAUCUAUAAUUUCGGGAAAAGGAUUAACUCUAAAGGUUAAGUAUAUUAGGCUUUAAAUAGACGCCUUAGGAGUAGAUUACUAUUAACUAGGCAAUUAGCCGGCGGUUUUUAAUAUCCGGGUAUAAAAGCCUUUAAUAGACUUCGGUUGUCCGGUAUACGUUUAAUAAUUAAUUUAGAACUAAUAUAGAUAGGGGGAAUUUAAUUAUCUAAUUAAAAUAUAGUAUUAUAAUAAUUAGAAAGUAGUAUUAAUACAAUAUAAUUUUUAUUUAAUAUUUUAAAUAUUAAAGUAAAGAAAUUCAAUUAAGCGUAGGUAAAUGGUAAGAGUAACUAUAAUUCUUUUAAAGUAGUUAAAUACUUUAUUAUUUAAUUAAUAAUACAUAUAAAUAGAUUAACGAGAUUCCUAUUAUCCCUAUCUACUAUCUAGCGAAACUAUAGUUAAGGGAAUAGGUUUAGUAGAAUUAAUAGGGAAAGAAGACCCUAUUAAAUUUAAUUUUAAUUUAAUAUUAUAAAAAGAUAUAGGAGGUAUAGAAUAAGUAAGAGCUUCGGCGCUAGUAAAAUACUACUACUCCUAUUGUUUUUUUACUUAUUUAAUUAAGUAGGGUUAGAUUUUUGUCUAACUUCUAGUUUUAAAGUCCUUUAUAAACUAACCCAGAUUAAAGAUAUUAUUAGGUAGGGAGUUUAACUAGGGCGGUACAUCUAUUAAACUAUAAUGUAAAUAUCCUAAGGGGGGCUUAUAGAGAAUAGAAAUCUCUAGUAGAAUAAAAGGGUAAAAGUCCCUUUAAUUUUAAUUUUUAAUGUGAAUAUAAAUUAUAAAAGUAUAGCUUAUUAAUCCUUUAAUCCCUCGAAAUUUAAAAUUAGAAGUACUAGAAAAGUUACUAUAGGGAUAAUUAGUUUAUAGCGGCUAAGUGUUUAUAGCGACGUUGCUUUUUAAUUUUUUAAUAUUGGUUCUUCCUAUUAUAUUGAAGUAGAAUUUAAUAAACGUUAAAUUAUUUACCUACUAAUAAGGAACGUAAAUUAGGUUUAGACUAUUGUAAAAUAGGUUAAUUUUACCCUAUUAAUAAUUUUAUUAUAAUAGUAAUUGAAUUUAGUACGAGAGGAACUACUUAUUUAGAUAAUUGGUUUUUAUAGUUAUUUGACCGGGUAGUACUACGAUAUUACUAUUUAUUAGAUAAUAGUUGAACGCUUUUAAAUUAGAAUUUAUAUUAGAAUGCGAUAAUACUUCUAGUAUAUUAUAAAUAUAUAAGAAUAGGCUCCGGCCUUGUAUUUUAGCAAGCGAUUCUUCUAUUAGCUUUAAAGUAGCUAGC
rnacentral:rRNA from 1 species